AGCCUUUGGAGAGGAUUAAAGGUUAUACCUGCCCAAUGUUACAAUUAAUGGCCGCGGUACUUUGACCGUGCUAAGGUAGCACAAUCAAUUGGCCCUUAAUUAGGGUCAGGUAUGAAUGGAGUUACGGGGCUUAGCUGUCUCUAAACUAUUUAAUUGAAGUUGCUAUAUAGGUGAAAAAGCCUAUGUUAAGAAAAAAGACGAGAAGACCCUUAGAGUUUUACUUAAAAAAGAGCUAUAUUCUUCACUAGUUUUGUUGGGGCAACAUAGGAGAAGAAUUAAACCUCCUAAAGCAUAUAAACCGAUGUUUUUAAAUAUGAAUAAACUACCUUAGGGAUAACAGCAUAAUUUUAAAAAUAAGUUUGUGACCUCGAUGUUGGACUAGGAAACUCAAAGGCUAGCCGCCUUUUGGUAAGGUUCUGUUCGAACUAUAAUUCCU
rnacentral:rRNA from 1 species